AAGGAGCCCUCCGGAUCCCUCCGACAUUCCUGCCAGCUGAGAUGUUGGGGAUUCGUCACGCAGAGGGGGACACACCUGGGCCCAGCAAGACCGACUGGGUGCAGAAUGAGGGCAGGACUGGCUCUGACAGCAGAUUCCUGGUGACACAGUUGAGAGCAGACGAGGAUGGACAUCGUUUACCCCCUGUUUAUGUGAGCAAAGAGAUUUCCGUGCCUCUCUCUGCCUGGCCUUCAGCACCAAAUGGCUGUCCGCACAAGGAUUCGGCUUGUACUCAUCAGUAGAUCAGCUUCUCUCUGCCGCCCCUUGACCUUUGUAAAGAAGCAGAGAAGGGAGAGAGCAAUUCUACCUGAGCUUCUGCAUCUGCCACAGGGGCUUUGACAAACUUGAGCUGUAUUACUCACAGACUUGCCAGUGAAAGAAAAGCUUGGUGGCUUUCAGAUCAAAUCAUCUUUGCCAGCCAAAGCAGUGUCUUCUUCCCUGCUUCUAAGAGGCAUGAACUUAAACAAUGAGUCUCAGAGUGGGGUGUAUCUACAGUCGUAGCUGUGAAGAGAGGAGAUGAAAUGUUCUCCUGUUCAAUGUACGCGGAAGAGACCAGAGCUGAGCUGCUAUCAUCGUAACAGUAAAACUACAGCGAGAUCUGAAUUCUUUGUUCAUGUUUCAUUGCCUGCUUUGAGGAAAACAGUGAUCAUGAGAUCAGACAUCAGC